rnacentral:lncRNA from 1 species
UCCAACCCAGCGUGGGGCUAAUGAAGGGCUUUCUGAAGAGCAAAAUCAGCCGAGGUAGGAAAACAAACAGGGCUGAGCACGUAGGAGAGGCAGCAGGAACCCACCUCGGUGCAUCAGAGGUUAAAGGAAGCGAUUCUGGGAUCUCACAGGGAUGUUGGAAGCCUCCCUCAGCUUCCCUGGAGAUUUCUGCGCCUUUGCAGAGCCUCCAGGGAAAUGCCAUCCAUGCCUGGGGUGGCAGCAAACGUGGUUGUUUAGAGGAAAAUAUGUUAUGGAGCCUGUUUGAUGAUUUGGAAGGAUUUAUUCCAGAGACAGCACUCACUGGAGGGACUGCAAAGGGAGAACAGGAGCUUCUGGCCUGAUCCUAAAAUCAGGAGAUGGGUGGCAAGACACAAGAUAAUUAAUUUCAAAUAAUCAGAGAGGAAAUUCGCUGGAGCUGUGAGGAAAGAAUGGUCAAACAAAUAUGAUUUUUGAAGAUCCAGGGGAAAAGAGGGAGAAGAUGACACCGAGCAUUGCCCAGGGAUUUGUGUUUUAGCUCCACAUUCUGGCUGGGUCUGGGUGGAAAAAUAACUGCAGGGUGGUUCAUCCUUCCCCUGAGUCACAGUGCCCAGGGCUGGGAUGGUGACACAGGUACCCAGGGCUGGGAUGGUGUCACAGGUACCCAGGGCUGGGAUGGUGACACUGUGCCCAGGGCUGGGAUGGUGUCACUGUACCCAGGGCUGGGAUGGUGUCACUGUGCCCAGGGCUGGGAUGGUGUCACAGGUACCAGGGCUGGGAUGGUGUCACUGUGCCCAGGGCUGGGAUGGUGUCACUGUACCCAGGGCUGGGAUGGUGCCACUGUACCCAGGGCUGGGAUGGUGUCACAGGUACCCAGGGCUGCCAUCUCUCACACCAAUGGCAGCACGAGGCCACCAAGACCUGGUGGCUUCUGCCCAGGGGUGCUGUUCCUCUCUGAAAACACACCCAGGUGUACCCCCUCACCUGGCACAGCCCUUCCCACCUGGCUGAGGGAUGCUCUAGAUAUGUGGGAGGGUCCGGAGGGCUGGGACAGCGCAGUUCCAGGGCGCUCCCAGAGGAGGUGACAGGUUUGACUCCUGCUGUCACACCAAGGGACACCG